CUGAGGGAGAAGAGUUUGAAAGUUCUGUCUGUCCUUCACCAGCCCAUUCCUUCACCUGCAUGCCAUUCUUUGUUGCCUAUGGCUACGAGGAGUAGUUUCCAGCUUUCUAUAAUAAAAUCUAUAGUGCCAAUUGCCUCACUAUCUGGUCUGGACUCAGAUUUCUUAUGAUGCUUUUAUACUUGAUUGUCUGCUUCUCCCGGGGCUCUCAUAUUAGAAGUGCAACUGUGUCUGUAAUCCUGGGCCAAGAAGACUAUCCCUAUUCCUAAAGUUUCAGUUUCAGUUGCGCUGUCUACCAAGCCUGCAAUAAAGAAGCAAGUUUGUUUGCCUGCAGUAGGAAGUAUUAGUUGUUCGUUGU